rnacentral:rRNA from 1 species
GCAAGUCGAGGGGCAGCGCGGGAUAGCAAUAUCCUGGCGGCGACCGGCGGAAGGGUGCGUAACGCGUGAGCGACAUGCCCGUUGCCCGGGGACAACCGGUGGAAACGCCGACUAAUCCCCGAUGGGAUAUUGUGCCGCAUGGCACGAUAUUGAAAGUUACGGCGGCGACGGAUUGGCUCGCGUCCGAUUAGCUUGUUGGCGGGGUAACGGCCCACCAAGGCUACGAUCGGUAGGGGUUCUGAGAGGAAGGCCCCCCACAAUGGGACUGAGACACGGCCCAUACUCCUACGGGAGGCAGCAGUGAGGAAUAUUGGUCAAUGGGCGGAAGCCUGAACCAGCCAUGCCGCGUGCGGGAAGGAGGCCCUAUGGGCUGUGAACCGCUUUUGCCUGGGGGCAAUAAGGGCGUCGCGCACGCCCGAUGAGAGUACCAGGCGAAUAAGCAUCGGCUAACUCCGUGCCAGCAGCCGCGGUAAUACGGGGGAUGCGAGCGUUAUCCGGAUUCAUUGGGUUUAAAGGGUGCGUAGGCUGUGCGUCAAGUCGGGGGUGAAAUUCCGGUGCUCAACACCGGGGCUGCCCUUGAUACUGUCGCGCUGGAGUGCGGAUGCCGCCGGAGGAAUGAGUGG